rnacentral:rRNA from 1 species
AACGAACGCUGGCGGCGUGGCUAAGACAUGCAAGUCGAACGCCCGUAGCAAUACGGGAGUGGCAGACGGGUGAGUAACGCGUGGGAACGUGCCCUUCGGUUCGGAAUAACUCAGGGAAACUUGAGCUAAUACCGGAUACGUCCGUAAGGAGAAAGAUUUAUCGCCGAAGGAUCGGCCCGCGUCGGAUUAGCUAGUUGGUGAGGUAACGGCCCACCAAGGCGACGAUCCGUAGCUGGUCUGAGAGGAUGAUCAGCCACACUGGGACUGAGACACGGCCCAGACCCCUAC